CAUCGAUACUAGCAAACUUGCCGAAAGGCAAGGACGCAAAGCCAAAGGGUCUAAGGUUCGCGAACGCGGACGAUUGACAGCCUGGCUGCCGAA
rnacentral:ncRNA from 1 species